GUCUAUGGCCAUGCCACCCUGAACACGCCCGAUCUCGUCUGAUCUGGGCCUGGUUAGUACUUGGAUGGGAGACCACCUAGGAAGACUGGGUGCUAUAGGCA
rnacentral:rRNA from 1 species